rnacentral:rRNA from 1 species
GCUCAGAUUGAACGCUGGCGGCAGGCCUAACACAUGCAAGUCGAGCGGUAACACAGGAGAGCUUGCUCUCUGGGUGACGAGCGGCGGACGGGUGAGUAAUGUCUGGGAAACUGCCCGAUGGAGGGGGAUAACUACUGGAAACGGUAGCUAAUACCGCAUAACGUCUUCGGACCAAAGAGGGGGACCUUCGGGCCUCUUGCCAUCGGAUGUGCCCAGAUGGGAUUAGCUAGUAGGUGGGGUAAUGGCUCACCUAGGCGACGAUCCCUAGCUGGUCUGAGAGGAUGACCAGCCACACUGGAACUGAGACACGGUCCAGACUCCUACGGGAGGCAGCAGUGGGGAAUAUUGCACAAUGGGCGCAAGCCUGAUGCAGCCAUGCCGCGUGUAUGAAGAAGGCCUUCGGGUUGUAAAGUACUUUCAGCGAGGAGGAAGGCGUUGCGGUUAAUAACCGCAGCGAUUGACGUUACUCGCAGAAGAAGCACCGGCUAACUCCGUGCCAGCAGCCGCGGUAAUACGGAGGGUGCAAGCGUUAAUCGGAAUUACUGGGCGUAAAGCGCACGCAGGCGGUCUGUCAAGUCGGAUGUGAAAUCCCCGGGCUCAACCUGGGAACUGCAUUCGAAACUGGCAGGCUAGAGUCUUGUAGAGGGGGGUAGAAUUCCAGGUGUAGCGGUGAAAUGCGUAGAGAUCUGGAGGAAUACCGGUGGCGAAGGCGGCCCCCUGGACA